GAUGAACGCUGGCGGCGUGCCUAAUACAUGCAAGUCGAGCGGACGGACGAGAAGCUUGCUUCUCUGAUGUUAGCGGCGGACGGGUGAGUAACACGUGGAUAACCUACCUAUAAGACUGGGAUAACUUCGGGAAACCGUAGCUAAUACCGGAUAACAUUUUGAACCGCAUGGUUCAAAAGUGAAAGACGGUCUUGCUGUCACUUAUAGAUGGAUCCGCGCUGCAUUAGCUAGUUGGUAAGGUAACGGCUUACCAAGGCAACGAUGCAUAGCCGACCUGAGAGGGUGAUCGGCCACACUGGAACUGAGACACGGUCCAGACUCCUACGGGAGGCAGCAGUAGGGAAUCUUCCGCAAUGGGCGAAAGCCUGACGGAGCAACGCCGCGUGAGUGAUGAAGGUCUUCGGAUCGUAAAACUCUGUUAUUAGGGAAGAACAUAUGUGUAAGUAACUGUGCACAUCUUGACGGUACCUAAUCAGAAAGCCACGGCUAACUACGUG
rnacentral:rRNA from 1 species